CCAGUUUCAGAUGGAGUUAGAUCCAGGUGCUGGAACAAUGUUGUCAGAAAUCUCUCUCUCCCAUUCUCUCUGCUCUGCUGUCUCCUUCAUUGGCAUCAAUUUUAGGGAUGUUCUUCCCACAAGAAAAUGAGAUGGCCACUAACAACACUGAGCUUGUAACCUACUAGAUUAGCGGCUCCAGCAGAAGGAGGUCAUCCAGGAAAAUGUUCUGUUGGCUUAGCUUGGGGGAUGUUUGCAUCACUGUGACUAGAGAAAGGGGCUGAGGUCAGCACCACCUACACCACAUAAACAGAGAGUGUGGGCAGAGAUAGUCCCCAAAACUAAAUUCAGAGUGCUCUAAGCAGAAGAGGGAAUGAAUGUUAUCAGACAACAAUGAGAAAUAUCCACUAUACCGCUUCAUAGGAAGAAACAUUGAAUACAUUGGAGAAGACUUGGCAGGGACAUGAUUGGCAGAUCUAAAAUGUGGGUGUGCAAUUGGAUGAUCUGGGAAGAGCACAGCAGAACUGGGAUCAGUGGGUGGGCCAGGUCUGCCCACUCCAAAGACCAUGUUGGUUCCUCUACACCUUGCCAAGCUACACAACUAGACAGCAAAAACAAUAACCAGACAGACCUCAGGUUGAAGCCCAACCCUGCCUCUCAGUCACUCAGCCCACUUAUUUAACUUUCUUGGAUGUCAGCUUCUCCAUAAGUCAAAGGAUCAUUGGAAGGAAAAAGAUAAGCCCGAGCUGAGGUUACAGCCAGCUCAGUGCAAAGCACUGGGAUUCAUUGCUCAGUAAGUGUUGGUCCCCCUACCUGUUUUCUUCACUUCUAGCAUGUUUUACAAUUUUGUUUUGGGAUCGUCUUCUAGGAUGGAAGAGUCUAAUUUCAUAAAACAUGCAAUAAAUAAUUCCUAACACUUUCUAAAGCUUUUGAAUCACAUGCAUUAAUGAGGAUAGGGUAUUGCCAAUUCAGAACACCUGGAAGCUGCUCAGGGCACACUCAAGCUCCUGACAGCUGUGUGGGUUCUCUCUGAAUCUGUUAGAGUAGCACUUCUGCAGUAUGGAAGCAAAGGAAACUCCACAGUAAGUGGAAAGAUGGGCACUGGGAGGCAAAGGGAACCCAACUGCAGAACUGGACAUUUUGUUGGGGUUUUUUUGCCUGUUCUUAUUAAACACAUACAAAAUUAAUCCAUCUUACUGUGGAAGAGGAGUAUCUGCAGUCAAAUAUAACCACCAAAUAAGCUACUGCCCAUUUCUCCCAAUGCUCUUAUCUCUUUCCUUUCUUCACAUUAGGAUUCCCCAACCUACUAUUGGCUGAUCAGAAAAGUGAGGCUCCCACAAUUCCAUCUGUGCCAGUGGGGAGAAUCCUAGCUGUGCCAGUGAGGAGAAGAAGCAUUUUACUGAAAUUGCUCCUUCCAGCCAGACCACACUCUCUCCCAUUAAUCCCUUGGAAAUUUCACUGCAGGUCUCAGAAGAAAAAUGAAGACCACUUAUUUGACCUGUACUGAUGUGCAAUAACACCAAUUCACUUGAAAAGCCAGAUUUGCCAUCAGGGACUGUGUCUCUCUGCUUUGCACUUUUCAACUUGAAAAGUUGCCAUCAGGGACUGUGUCUCUCUGCUUUGCAACAACAUAAAUACAUGUAUGUGGUCAUCACGGACUUUCAGAAGAUCCCAAGCAACUGGAAAAAAAAAAUUCUAAGCAUGAAUGCGUGGGGGGUUGGUUAUAUAGAUUAUGCUACACACAUACAUAGGAACACUAUGGAACCAUUGCAAAGAAUAAAACAAAACUAUAUGUGUAAAUCUGGAAAGACUCCCGGGAUAUAUCACUACCUGACAAGUUCAACCUAUGGAAGAGUAAUACUUUAUUUAGGGUAUAUAUAGUUUCAUAAAGAAAAGUGCAUGGACAUAUAUUGAUACAUUGGUGUGUGUACACAAAGGAAUAGUACAAUCCCCUGUUAGCUGGGUCUGUGGCUUCCUUGAAUAAAGACUACAAUUCCCAGACUCCCUUGCAGCUAAGAUUUGCCCAAUGGUGUGAGCAUAAGAGAUAGGUACAACUUCUCAGCCUUGUUUUUAAAUGGAAUAGGAAAGUCCUGGUGGCCCCUUUUACCUCUGCUGUGGAAGUGGUGGUUUUGGGCUCUGGCCUAGCAUGCAAAGAAAAGAGACUGUACUCGGAAACAGUGAGAUAGAAGGGGCUUGAAUCUCCAAGUGAGAGGCAUCCAUGACUGCAUGGAUAGCCCACCCCUAGGCUGUGAUAUGGGACGGAAAUCAGCUCCCGUCUUAUAUAUGCACCCGCAUUGUGGAAAUCUCUUUGUUAGAGCAGUGGGCUCUAUCCUCAUAUGAGCAGGAUAGUCUCCAAACAAUUGACAGUAGUUUCUGAGAUAUUGACAGUGGUUUCCAAGGUAUGGCAUUGGAAGUGAGAAGAGAGGGAUUCUUACUAAUUUUACUUUUAUACCUUACUGCUGCUAUUUGUAAAUGUUGCAAUAAUGUUUUACUUGUUAAUUUUCUUGGACCUCAGGUGUCAAAAUUGGGUUAAUUAUAAGCUGUGGUUUGUAAUACACAUUUAUCAUUGGUCUAUAAAGGGGCCUCUUUUAUUUAGUUAAUUCAUUUUUGUUCUCUUCUUAAAAAGAUACUAAGCACCGUCUAUCACCCGAACAACAAAAACUAGAACCUUCAUCUAACCAUAUGCUGCUAUCCACCCCAUCCCAUCCCCUGCUUCCCCCUACCAGGAAUAAAUAACCAUUUUCCCAAUUUCCAUCAUUUCCUUGCUUUUCUUCUUCUAUAUAUUUUAUUGCAUUUGUAUGCACGCUUUAAAUGCCUAUUUUUAAAUGUUAGCUGGCUUUAUACUUAUAAAAAGAAUAUCAUGCUAUAUAUAAAAUUUUGACAAUUUUUAUACUUAAUAUUAUAUUUCUAAGAUACAUCUGCAUGAUUUGCAAGUUGCUAUAGUUCUGGAGUUGACAGAGUUUCUGUAAAGGGCCAGAAAGGAAAAAUUUUAGGCUCUGCAGGCCACAUAUAGUCUCCAUCACAUUCUUCUUUUUUUAUUUUAUAACCUUUAAAGAAAUGUAAAAGCCAUUGUUAGCCUGCAGACCCCACAGAAAUAGGGCCAGGCAGUUUCCCGACCCUGGCUCUGGUUCAUCAGUUUUGAUUGCUGUAUAAUGUUAGCUAGACCAUGCUUUAUUAAUCCAUUCUUCCAUCAGUGAUGCUUGGUCCAUUUUUAAGCUUUUGCUGUUGGGCAGAGUGUAUUCUCAGUAUCUUCUGGUAUACAUGAGCCAAAGUAUCUUUGGGAAGUUCUCCAGGAGGUGUGGAAUUGCUGAGUCACGGGAGAUGGAAUGUCCACCUUUGGGGAUAAUGCUGAAGACUGAAGGCAGCAUUUCAGAGACAGGAAUGCCAAGCGCACGAUGGCCUCAGAGGCUCUGAUGUUUGACAUUUGCUGCCUCUGAAGACUUCCCUGACUGUGCUCCACAUGGUUCUUUUGCUACUCACCAUUCUCAUCUAGCUCUUUUAUGGAGUUGUUUUAUUUUUUUGUGCUCUCAUGCCCCAGCCUGGACAUAAUUCCUUCCCAGUUAUGUUCAGUAGUAGCACCUUAAUUGCACCUCCUAUGGAACAAUCAGCAUGAAUAUGAGCUCCUGCACUAGACUUGGACUCCAACAUCUGGGAUCUGCCAGUUUCUAUCUGUUUGGCCUUGGGCAAGUCACUUAACAGCUUUGAAUUUGAGUUUUUACACCUGAAGGAGCUGUGAGAAUUCCUGUGCCUUUGUUCAUCACGUGGCUGCAAAGAACAGGAAGUCACUCUUAGGUGCUCAGCAAAACUGAAAUUAAAAGGGUUUCUUUUUUUGUUGUUUUUUCUUUUUAAGUUCUGGGGUACAUGUGCAGGAUGUGCAGGUUUGUUACAUAGGUAAACGUGUGCCAUGGCGGUUUGCUGCAGCUAUCAACCCAUCACCUAAGUAUUAAGCCCAGCAUGCAUUAGCUAUUUUUCCUUAUGCUCUCCCUACCCCCAUCCCACUCCCUGACAGGCCCUGGUGUGUGAUGUUCCCCUCCCUGUGUCCAUGUGUUCUCAUUGUUCAGCUCCCACUUAUAAGUGAGAACAUACAGUGUUUGGUUUUCUGUUCCUGCAUUAGUUUGCUGAGGAAAAUGGCUUCCAGCUUCAUCCAUGUCCCUGCAAGGGACAUGAUCUCAUUCCUUUUUAUAGCUGCACAGUAUUCCAUGGUGUAUAUGUACCACAUUUUCUCCAUCCAGACUAUCAUUGAUGGGCAUUCGGGUUGAUUCCAUGUCUUUGCUAUUGUGAAUAGUGCUGCAGUGAACAUGCAUAUACAUGUAUCUUUGUAACAGAAUGAUUUAUAUUCAAAAGGAAGUUUAAAUAAGAACUGGAAAAAUGACAGCUGCUCCAGCAUGAUGGACAAGGUCCUUCAGGGCCCUGGUGCAAGACUCUGUGCCACUCUACUUCUCAUUCAUCAUCAAGCAACUAUUGAGCACCUACUAUUUGCCACACUAUUCUAGGUGCUUGGAAUGUGGCAGGGAAUUAAACAGAGAUCCCUGCCCUGAAGGGGCUGAUAUUCUAGUGUGGAGAGAGAAACCAAAAUCAAUGAACAUAAUAAAUGGGGAAAAUAAAAGAUUCGUGGUAAUGAGUGCUUGGACAAGAGAAACAGCAUGGACAUGGAUUAGGGAUGCUGACAGGGGCUGGUGGGGGGUGUCGCUUGUUAAAUAAGGUGGGUGGAGAGGGCUUCAGUGAGGUGGUGGGAUUUGAACAGAGAUUUGAAGAGGUGAGAGAAUGAGGUGUGGGUGUCUGGGGGAAGUUUUCCAGCAAUGAGCAAAGUGGUCAAAGGCCACAGAAAUGUGGCUGCCCCUGGACACCUCCUGGAGCCCCGUGAGUAUGGGAGAGGGAAGGACUGAGGCCAUCACCCAGGUCACAUAGGAGGCGUGGUCAUCAUAAGGACUUUGGCUUUCACCCUGCAGGAAAUGGGAAAUCAGCCAGGUCAUAAAGGAGGCAUGGCCAUCACAAGGACUUUCACUUUCCCCCUACAGGAAAUGGGAAGUCGGCCAGCCCAGGCAAGGUUGGCUCAUGCCUGUAAUCCUAGCACUUCGGGAGGCCAAGGUGGGCAAAUCACCUGAGGUCAGGAGUUCUAGACCAGCCUGACCAACAUGGUGAAACCCCGUCUCUACUAAAAAUACAAAAUUAGCCAGGUGUGGUGGUGUAUGCCUGUAAUCCCAGCUACUUGGGAGGCUGAGGCAGGAGAAUCGCUCAAACCCAAGAAGCAGAGGUUGCAGUGAGCCGAGAUUGCACCACUGCACUCCAGCUUGGGCAACAGAGCAAGAUUCCAUCUCAAAAAAAAAAAAAAAAAAAAAAAAAAGGAAAUGGGAAGGCAGUGGUGGUCAGGCCAUAAAGGAGGCGUGGCCAUCACAAGGACUUUGGCUUUCACCCUGCAGAAAUGGAAAGUCAGUAGCCAGUUCAUAAAGGAGGCAUGGUCAUCAUAAGGACUUUCACUUUCACGCUGCAGGAAGUGGGAAAUCAGUGGCCAGUUCAUGGAAGAGGUGUGGCCAUCGUAAGGACUUUGGCUUUCACCCUGCAGGAAAAGGGAAGUCAGGCAGGAUUAGGAGCAGAAGAGCCAUGUGAUGAGGUUGCAACCAGCUGAAGGCUGGGCUGGGGCUGGGGCUGGGGAAUCUGCUUUUGAGUUCACUCAGGUGACUGUUGGCAGAAGGUAGAGUUCCCUGUCACAUGGACCCUUUUGUGGGUUUACACAUGACAUGGCAGCUGACUUCCCCCAGAGAGAGACAGAAGCAGAGAGACAGACAGACACAGGACAAACGCAGAGGCAGACAGAGACACAGACAGAUGCAGAGAGAGAGACAAAAAUCCACAAACUCAGAGAGAAAUAGAGAGGAAGACACAGAAAUAGACACAGAGACAGAGAGUGAGAGAGUGACACAGAUAGAUAUAGGCAGACACUGAUAUGGUUUAGGUGUUUGUCCCUCUGAGUCUCAUGUUGAAACGUGAUCCCCAGUGUUGGAGGUGGGGCCUAAGAAGUGUUUGGGCCAUGGGGGCGGAUCCCUCAUGAAUGACUCGGUGCCCCCCCCCCACCACCCCAGUGGUGAUGAAUGAGUUCUUGCUCUGUGAGUUCACAAAAUAACUGGUUGCUUAAAGGAGGCCGGCAUGUCCUCCUUUCUUUUUUUUUUUUUUUUGGAGAUGGAGUCUCGCUCUGUCACCCAGGCUAGAAUGUAGUGGUGCGAUCUCG
rnacentral:lncRNA from 1 species